rnacentral:rRNA from 1 species
UUAACGCUGAGGUGUGAUGACGAGGCACUACGGUGCUGAAGUAACAAAUGCCCUGCUUCCAGGAAAAGCCUCUAAGCAUCAGGUAACAUUAAAUCGUACCCCAAACCGACACAGGUGGUCAGGUAGAGAAUACCAAGGCGCUUGAGAGAACUCGGGUGAAGGAACUAGGCAAAAUGGUGCCGUAACUUCGGGAGAAGGCACGCUGAUAUGUAGGUGAAGCCCCUGCGGGUGGAGCUGAAAUCAGUCGAAGAUACCAGCUGGCUGCAACUGUUUAUUAAAAACACAGCACUGUGCAAACACGAAAGUGGACGUAUACGGUGUGACGCCUGCCCGGUGCCGGAAGGUUAAUUGAUGGGGUUAUCCGUAAGGAGAAGCUCUUGAUCGAAGCCCCGGUAAACGGCGGCCGUAACUAUAACGGUCCUAAGGUAGCGAAAUUCCUUGUCGGGUAAGUUCCGACCUGCACGAAUGGCGUAAUGAUGGCCAGGCUGUCUCCACCCGAGACUCAGUGAAAUUGAACUCGCUGUGAAGAUGCAGUGUACCCGCGGCAAGACGGAAAGACCCCGUGAACCUUUACUAUAGCUUGACACUGAACAUUGAGCCUUGAUGUGUAGGAUAGGUGGGAGGCUUUGAAGCGUGGACGCCAGUCUGCGUGGAGCCAACCUUGAAAUACCACCCUUUAAUGUUUGAUGUUCUAACGUGGACCCGUAAUCCGGGUUGCGGACAGUGUCUGGUGGGUAGUUUGACUGGGGCGGUCUCCUCCCAAAGAGUAACGGAGGAGCACGAAGGUUAGCUAAUCCUGGUCGGACAUCAGGAGGUUAGUGCAAUGGCAUAAGCUAGCUUGACUGCGAGCGUGACGGCGCGAGCAGGUGCGAAAGCAGGUCAUAGUGAUCCGGUGGUUCUGAAUGGAAGGGCCAUCGCUCAACGGAUAAAAGGUACUCCGGGGAUAACAGGCUGAUACCGCCCAAGAGUUCAUAUCGACGGCGGUGUUUGGCACCUCGAUGUCGGCUCAUCACAUCCUGGGGCUGAAGUAGGUCCCAAGGGUAUGGCUGUUCGCCAUUUAAAGUGGUACGCGAGCUGGGUUUAGAACGUCGUGAGACAGUUCGGUCCCUAUCUGCCGUGGGCGCUGGAGAAUUGAGGGGGGCUGCUCCUAGUACGAGAGGACCGGAGUGGACGCAUCACUGGUGUUCGGGUUGUCAUGCCAAUGGCAUUGCCCGGUAGCUAAAUGCGGAAGAGAUAAGUGCUGAAAGCAUCUAAGCACGAAACUUGCCCCGAGAUGAGUUCUCCCUGAGACU